GACGAACGCUGGCGGCGUGCCUAAUACAUGCAAGUCGAACGAGAGCGACCGGUGCUUGCACUGGUCAAUCUAGUGGCGAACGGGUGAGUAACACGUGGGUAACCUGCCCCUCAGAGGGGGAUAACAUCCGGAAACGGAUGCUAAACCCGCAUAGGUCUUCGAACCGCAUGGUUUGAAGAGGAAAAGAGGCGCAAGCUUCUGCUGAUGGAUGGACCCGCGGUGCAUUAGCUAGUUGGUGAGGUAACGGCUCACCAAGGCCGUGAUGCAUAGCCGACCUGAGAGGGUGAUCGGCCACAUUGGGACUGAGACACGGCCCAAACUCCUACGGGAGGCAGCAGUAGGGAAUCUUCCGCAAUGGACGCAAGUCUGACGGAGCAACGCCGCGUGAGUGAAGAAGGUUUUCGGAUCGUAAAACUCUGUUGUUAGAGAAGAACAAGUGCUAGAGUAACUGUUAGCGCCUUGACGGUAUCUAACCAGAAAGCCACGGCUAACUACGUG
rnacentral:rRNA from 1 species